rnacentral:ncRNA from 1 species
UGACUUCGGGGUGAUGGUGUUCCACCUCAACCAACCGCCGCUCUGAGACCUGAGCGGCUGAUGACGCCUGACAUAAU